GACGAACGCUGUCGGCGUGCUUAACACAUGCAAGUCGAACGGAAAGGCCCUGCUUUUGUGGGGUGCUCGAGUGGCGAACGGGUGAGUAACACGUGAGUAACCUGCCCUUGACUUUGGGAUAACUUCAGGAAACUGGGGCUAAUACCGGAUAGGAGCUCCUGCUGCAUGGUGGGGGUUGGAAAGUUUCGGCGGUUGGGGACGGACUCGCGGCUUAUCAGCUUGUUGGUGGGGUAGUGGCUUACCAAGGCUUUGACGGGUAGCCGGCCUGAGAGGGUGACCGGCCACAUUGGGACUGAGAUACGGCCCAGACUCCUACGGGAGGCAGCAGUGGGGAAUAUUGCACAAUGGGCGGAAGCCUGAUGCAGCAACGCCGCGUGCGGGAUGACGGCCUUCGGGUUGUAAACCGCUUUCGCCUGUGACGAAGCGUGAGUGACGGUAAUGGGUAAAGAAGCACCGGCUAACUACGUGCCAGCAGCCGCGGUGAUACAUAGGGUGCGAGCGUUGUCCGGAUUUAUUGGGCGUAAAGGGCUCGUAGGUGGUUGAUCGCGUCGGAAGUGUAAUCUUGGGGCUUAACCCUGAGCGUGCUUUCGAUACGGGUUGACUUGAGGAAGGUAGGGGAGAAUGGAAUUCCUGGUGGAGCGGUGGAAUGCGCAGAUAUCAGGAGGAACACCAGUGGCGAAGGCGGUUCUCUGGGCCUUUCCUGACGCUGAGGAGCGAAAGCGUGGGGAGCGAACAGGCUUAGAUACCCUGGUAGUCCACGCUGUAAACGGUGGGUACUAGGUGUGGGGUCCAUUCCACGGGUUCCGUGCCGUAGCUAACGCUUUAAGUACCCCGCCUGGGGAGUACGGCCGCAAGGCUAAAACUCAAAGGAAUUGACGGGGCCCCGCACAAGCGGCGGAGCAUGCGGAUUAAUUCGAUGCAACGCGUAGAACCUUACCUGGGUUUGACAUGGAUCGGGAGUGCUCAGAGAUGGGUGUGCCUCUUUUGGGGUCGGUUCACAGGUGGUGCAUGCCUGUCGUCAGCUCGUGUCGUGAGAUGUUGGGUUAAGUCCCGCAACGAGCGCAACCCUUGUUCACUGUUGCCAGCACGUUAUGGUGGGGACUCAGUGGAGACCGCCGGGGUCAACUCGGAGGAAGGUGGGGAUGACGUCAAGUCACCAUGCCCCUUAUGUCCAGGGCUUCACGCAUGCUACAAUGGCUGGUACAGAGAGUGGCGAGCCUGUGAGGGUGAGCGAAUCUCGGAAAGCCGGUCUCAGUUCGGAUUGGGGUCUGCAACUCGACCUCAUGAAGUCGGAGUCGCUAGUAAUCGCAGAUCAGCAACGCUGCGGUGAAUACGUUCCCGGGGCU
rnacentral:rRNA from 1 species